UCUUGCAGAAUCUGCUCGUCGUUCCUUUUUCCUAUGCAUAUACUUCUUUGAGGAUCUGACCUAAAGAGGUAUAGGGCAUGGGAAAAUGGGGCGACGGGGUCCUCCUCAG
rnacentral:miRNA from 1 species